rnacentral:rRNA from 1 species
UACGAAGGGUGCAAGCGUUACUCGGAAUUACUGGGCGUAAAGCGUGCGUAGGCGGUUUGUUAAGUCCGUUGUGAAAGCCCUGGGCUCAACCUGGGAAUUGCAGUGGAUACUGGCAAGCUAGAGUACGGUAGAGGAUGGUGGAAUUCCCGGUGUAGCGGUGAAAUGCGUAGAGAUCGGGAGGAACACCCGUGGCGAAGGCGGCCAUCUGGACCAGUACUGACGCUGAGGCACGAAAGCGUGGGGAGCGAACGGG